rnacentral:misc_RNA from 1 species
AACGCACAUUGCGCCCUCUGGUAUUCCGGAGGGCAUGCCUGUUCGAGCGUCAUUACACCACUCAAGCCUCGCUUGGUGUUGGGCGUCGCGGUCACACGCGCGCCUCAAUAGCACCGGCCGGUCACCCGAACUCCGAGCGCAGAAGCAAAACACUUUCGCUCACGAGCCGAGGGGAAUCGCGCCGUUAAAACCUCCAUCAAAGGUUGACCUCGGAUCAGGUAGGGAUACCCGCUGAACUUAA